GAUGAGGAGGCAAAGGGAGAGAACGGCUGCCGGAAGCAAUUCGGUUGGGAGCACUAGGAAAUGAAUUUUUUCAUUUACUGAAAUUUCUUUCAUUUCCUAUUCCUCCCAUACCGAAGGUUUUCGGUCUUUCCUCCCCUUUCCUUCUGUCU
rnacentral:pre_miRNA from 1 species